rnacentral:rRNA from 1 species
UACGGAGGGUGCAAGCGUUAUCCGGAUUUACUGGGUUUAAAGGGUGCGUAGGUGGGUCUGUAAGUCAGUGGUGAAAUCUCCGAGCUUAACUCGGAAACUGCCAUUGAUACUAUAGAUCUUGAAUAUCCUGGAGGUGAGCGGAAUAUGUCAUGUAGCGGUGAAAUGCUUAGAUAUGACAUAGAACACCAAUUGCGAAGGCAGCUCACUACUGGAUCAUUGACACUGAGGCACGAAAGCGUGGGGAUCAAACAGG